rnacentral:rRNA from 1 species
AGCGAACGCUGGCGGCAGGCUUAACACAUGCAAGUCGAGCGGGCGUAGCAAUACGUCAGCGGCAGACGGGUGAGUAACGCGUGGGAACAUACCUUUUGGUUCGGAACAACACAGGGAAACUUGUGCUAAUACCGGAUAAGCCCUUACGGGGAAAGAUUUAUCGCCGAAAGAUUGGCCCGCGUCUGAUUAGCUAGUUGGUGAGGUAACGGCUCACCAAGGCGACGAUCAGUAGCGGUCUGAGAGGAUGAUCAGCCACAUUGGGACUGAGACACGGCCCAAACUCCUACGGGAGGCAGCAGUGGGGAAUAUUGGACAAUGGGCGAAAGCCUGAUCCAGCCAUGCCGCGUGAGUGAUGAAGGCCCUAGGGUUGUAAAGCUCUUUUGUGCGGGAAGAUAAUGACGGUACCGCAAGAAUAAGCCCCGGCUAACUUCGUGCCAGCCGCCGCGGUAAU